ACAGGUGGUGCAUGGUUGUCGUCAGCUCGUGUCGUGAGAUGUUGGUUAAGUCCCGUAACGAGCGCAACCCUUGUCCUUAGUUACCAGCACGUUAAGGUGGGCACUCUAAGGAGACUGCCGGUGACAAACCGGAGGAAGGUGGGGAUGACGUCAAGUCAUCAUGGCCCUUACGGCCUGGGCUACACACGUGCUACAAUGGUCGGUACAAAGGGUUGCCAAGCCGCGAGGUGGAGCUAAUCCCAUAAACCGAUCGUAGUCCGGAUCGCAGUCUGCAACUCGACUGCGUGAAGUCGGAAUCGCUAGUAAUCGUGAAUCAGAAUGUCACGGUGAAUACGUUCCCGGGCCUU
rnacentral:rRNA from 1 species